CGCAUCCCCUCCUGCACCCCCUGGAUGGCCCUUCAGCCAACGGGGGCCUGGGCGAUGGUCGACCACGGAGCUGCGCAAGGAAAAGUCCCGGGAUGCGGCCCGCAGCCGGCGCAGCCAGGAGACCGAGGUGCUGUACCAGCUGGCUCACACGCUGCCCUUCGCCCGCGGCGUCAGCGCCCACCUGGACAAGGCCUCUAUCAUGCGCCUCACCAUCAGCUACCUGCGCAUGCACCGCCUCUGCGCCGCAGGGGAGUGGAACCAGGUGGGAGCAGGGGGAGAACCACUGGAUGCCUGCUACCUGAAGGCCCUGGAGGGCUUCGUCAUGGUGCUCACCGCCGAGGGAGACAUGGCUUACCUGUCGGAGAAUGUCAGCAAACACCUGGGCCUCAGUCAGCUGGAGCUCAUCGGACACAGCAUCUUUGAUUUCAUCCACCCCUGUGACCAAGAGGAGCUUCAGGACGCCCUGACCCCCCAGCAGACCCUGUCCAGGAGGAAGGUGGAGGCCCCCACGGAGCGGUGCUUCUCCUUGCGCAUGAAGAGUACGCUCACCAGCCGCGGGCGCACCCUCAACCUCAAGGCGGCCACCUGGAAGGUGCUGAACUGCUCUGGACAUAUGAGGGCCUACAAGCCCCCUGCACAGACUUCUCCAGCUGGGAGCCCUGACUCAGAGCCCCCACUGCAGUGCCUGGUGCUCAUCUGUGAAGCCAUCCCCCACCCAGGCAGCCUGGAGCCCCCGCUGGGCCGAGGGGCCUUCCUCAGCCGCCACAGCCUGGACAUGAAGUUCACCUACUGUGACGACAGGAUUGCAGAAGUGGCUGGCUAUAGUCCCGAUGACCUGAUCGGCUGUUCCGCCUACGAGUACAUCCACGCGCUGGACUCCGAUGCGGUCAGCAAGAGCAUCCACACCUUGCUGAGCAAGGGCCAGGCAGUAACAGGGCAGUAUCGCUUCCUGGCCCGGAGUGGUGGCUACCUGUGGACCCAGACCCAGGCCACAGUGGUGUCAGGGGGACGGGGCCCCCAGUCGGAGAGUAUCGUCUGUGUCCAUUUUUUAAUCAGCCGGGUGGAAGAGACCGGAGUGGUGCUGUCCCUGGAGCAAACGGAGCAACACUCUCGCAGACCCAUUCAGCGGGGCGCCCCCUCUCAGAAGGACACCCCUAACCCUGCGGACAGCCUUGACGCCCCUGGCCCCCGGAUCCUUGCCUUCCUGCACCCGCCUUCCCUGAGCGAGGCUGCCCUGGCCGCUGACCCCCGCCGUUUCUGCAGCCCUGACCUCCGUCGCCUCCUGGGACCCAUCCUGGAUGGGGCUUCAGUAGCGGCCACUCCCAGCACCCCGCUGGCCACACGGCGCCCCCAAAGUCCUCUUUCGGCUGAUCUCCCAGAUGAACUACCUGUGGGCACCGAGAAUGUGCACAGACUCUUCACCUCCGGGAAAGACACUGAGGCAGUGGAGACAGAUUUAGAUAUAGCUCAGGAUGCCGAUGCUCUGGAUUUGGAGAUGCUGGCCCCCUACAUCUCCAUGGAUGAUGACUUCCAGCUCAACGCCAGCGAGCAGCUACCCAGGGCCUACCACAGACCUCUGGGGGCUGUCCCCCGGCCCCGUGCUCGGAGCUUCCAUGGCCUGUCACCUCCAGCCCUUGAGCCCUCCCUGCUGCCCCGCUGGGGGAGUGACCCCCGGCUGAGCUGCUCCAGCCCUUCCAGAGGGGACCCCUCAGCAUCCUCUCCCGUGGCUGGGGCUCGGAAGAGGACCCUGGCCCAGAGCUCAGAGGACGAGGACGAGGGAGUGGAGCUGCUGGGAGUGAGACCUCCCAAAAGGUCCCCCAGCCCAGAACACGAAAACUUUCUGCUGUUUCCCCUCAGCCUGGUGUGUUGGGGGAUUAAUGGGAUUCUCUGGCCCUCAUUACCUAGCUGGCUUAAACCUACUGUUUUAUAGAUAGGAAACCAGAGAGGGGCAGGGGCUGGUUGAGGGUCAUACAGAAAGUCAGUGGGCCAGCUGAGACUAAAGCCUGAUCUUCUAGUUUCACUAAUGGGUAUUAAAAACCUCUGCAGUGAACUGAGAUUGCGCCACUGCACCCCAGCAUGAGCGACAGAAUGGGACCUUGUC
rnacentral:sRNA from 1 species